CCCCCUUCCCCAAUCAUUCGUGCAAAACUGCAAAUCCCUUUGAAUCAAAGUGAGAGCACCAAAUCAAAACGGCAAAACCCUAGCCGUAGGUUCCUUUUCGCCACCGUCCCCAGGUUCUCGGAGCCUCCGCUUCUUCCUCUUCCCCCUGUCCGGAACCGAGGUAGCUCGGCACGUCGUCUACUGGCUUCUCUGUUCGUGGCUUGGAGCAGCUCGCAGUUUGCCGUCGUCUCACCUCUUGCCGUCGUCUCGCCGGUUGCUGUCCAUGUCUCCGUCGAAGUAAAGGGUGCUUCGCCGCCGGUGGGGACAGACCGUCCUCCCUCGCUGCCGGUAAGCACGGGUGUCUCAAUUUAUUUUGGUAAUUUUGUUAAUUUUAUUUAUUCUUAUUUUUGAGUUGCUAGUGGCUAAUUUUGAGUUUUGAUGGUGCUAUAGUUCAGUGUUUCACUACAUUAUUUAUGCUGGAAUUUUUCUGAUUCUGAGUUGUUUAUGCUGAUUUAUUUGAUUCUGAGUUGUUAAUGCUGAUUUUUAUUCUGAGCUGUUGAUUCUGGUUGGUUGCUGAUUUUUCUGAUUUUGAGUUGUUGAUGGUGCUAUUGUGCAGGACUUCACUGCAUUGUGCUAGAAUUUUUCUGAUUAGUUGUUUAUGCUAUGAUUUUGAUUUUGAGUUGUUUAUGCUGAAAAUUUUCUAAUUCUGAGUUAUUUAUGCUAAUUUUUUUUUAAUUCUGAAUUGUUGAUUCUCUUUGCUGAUUUUUCUGAUUCUUUUGUUAAUUUUUUGUAUUUAUAACUUUUAUGAAACUGGAAUAACUGAUGGAGGUAGAACAUUAUGUUUUUGCCAUUUACAUGUAUUUUGAUUUUUGUUAGCUAGAAACGUUGAUGUGUGAAGUUGUUUAUAAACUUUUAAUGAUAAAUUAUGGAUAAUUUAUUAUGUGAAAUUAUAAAAUUUUAAAUUUUUGUUAGUUUAGAAUUCAUUGAAUUUAAAUAUUAAAAUUAUAUAUUAAAUUUUUAAUAAUUUUAUUUUAUAUUAAUUAAACCAGUUGAACUCCAGUUGAAUCUUUUAACUAUUGAAUUGGUCACUUUACUGGUUCAUUGACCGGUUCAGUUCUCGCAACCUUGGUUGAUUUUAUACUCUGUCCCAAUCUGCUAAAUGACCUAGUUUUAGUGUAAUCAAUAGGGGUUGGGUUGGGUGAGCUUAAUAUCUGACAUUCUAAGUUGGCACUUAACGAUAACAUGCCAGGUAUAUGCUUUAUUGACAAAAAAAAACUAAUCAGUCUCACGAAAUUAAUUAUAAAAGGCUGGAAAGAGAUUUUAUUUUUAAUGGGGUCUAAUUGUCUUUUUCAUGUAUUUGUGAGAUCGUUUAGGGUGUUUUUCAAUGUUCUGAAAACUUGUUCAAAUCGGCAGUCGAACCAGUUAAACCGAGAACCGUUAGUAAACACAGUUCGAACAAUAGACAAAACCGUCAAAUUCAAAAACCGAAGUUAGACCGACAAACCAGCCGAGAAUUGGUUGGUCGAACCAAACCGUGACCCGACCAGUUUUUGAAUUUUGCCAAAAAAAAAAAGCGUUUUGACUUGGCCCCCCAAAAGGAACCCUAGGACUCUUUCACCCAGACACCCACACUGCACACACCCACUCUCGAGCCUCCCCUCCAGCCCUCCAUUCUCACCUCUCGCUCUCACCACGUUCAGUCUCCACCGCGAGCUUCCGGCGCAACCCCCGUCUAGUCACCGCCGCUGUCGCAAGGUCGAAGUCACUCACCUGCACAGACCCAUGGCGCCAGCUUUCCGUUUGCGCAACAAGCUUUCCUUUCAGCCGUCAAAAUCUCAAAAUCUCAGCCACUGCCAGCGCCAGUUGCUGUCCCGAGUGUCUACCUGCCGGCGCCAGCUCUGUUUGACCCUUCCACCCCAGCCACUGUUGCUUUGCAUUCUUCCUGGUCUUCCACUAAGCCUAGGCAGCAGAAUAAGCAUGACUGCAAGUGGAUACAAGCAUGGAGUAAGCUUCAAUGCCUCACCACCAUGUUCUGUAAGCAGAGCACACUUUUAACACAUGUACCAAACAGUUAACACCUUUCCCAUUUUUCUUUACCGACUUUCCCUCUGCCUCACUCUCACUCUCAAUCCGCUGCUGCUGCCAUCCUGCCUCCGGCCUCGCUUUCUCGCUGCUCAUCAGCCUUGCGCCAGCUUCGUUGACAUCUGUCUCCCUUCGCAUCCAGCCACUCGCCGAGUAGUCUCUCCGCACCCGUCACUCUGUCAGUGUGCCUUUGCAUCACCUCGACUGUCCUUCGUCUGUCUCUCUGUCCAUCUCGCUUCUCAGCCUUUGCCUCUCGUCAUCCAUAGCUGUCCAUCCUCACCGCUCUCAGCCUCACAGGUCGAACCGAUUAGACCGGAGCCAAGGCCUAACCUAUUUCAACCUCCCUUAUUAAGCUUCAUCUCUUCUUCCCGUUUUUCAUACGAAAUGUGCUGGAAAGAAAUGAAACCCUUGCUUCAAAGAUUCAAUUCUAUGUAAUUUUUAACUCGGAGCUCCGAUUGACGAGCCGUCAGCGACCACAUAUUCGUUUCAGAAUUCUCUUCAAUUUUAUUCGAACAAAGUGGUGAACUCUAAUAGUGGGUAAUCACUAGGUUUUAUCCAAUUGAUUCGUGGAUUGUGCACUUGUUGAUUUGAAGUUCAAUUGGACGGUUCGGAACAAAAUUUGGGUGAUCAAGUUUGAGAAAUUGACGUUUGGAAGCUUGAAGCUUGUGAAAGGAGAUAUUUUUAAGGAGUUUCGAGCUUAGAGCAGAAUCAGCAAGAUGCAGGUCGAGAGAUACCUCACUGAGCGUCUGGAAUUUCCUGUGCAAGCGAAGUUUGAUUAUUUUGGGUUGCUGUAUUUUGUAUUGAUGCUAUGUAUAUAAAUUCUCCUUCGUAUAUAUUUUUUGUCCCUCCUAGAGGUUGACUUGGAGAAACAGGUAUUUAUUUUGUAGUAUGAGUUAUAUUUUGGGUUGUAUAAACAUAUAUAAUUAUAUAUUCUGGCUGGCCUUAGCUUCGUAGGUCGAGUCUGGAGCUUGAUAUCUGUAUUUUGGAAAUCCGAUUUGUAUAUUAUGUUUUUAGCCUUCUUUUGAUCUUACCUAUCUGUUUUACGCUUAUUUGUACGAGUGUGACGAUUUUCUAUUUUCGCUUUUGCUUAACUUCUCUUUCAAGACUACUAGAUAUGAAUUUUUUUAGCUAUAUUUAUAUAUGUCUUUUCUUUUAAAGGUCGUAAUAUGUCGCCACCUCUGUUUUACGACUUAAGCGUAAGGCUCUGUGUGUUAGGGUGUUACAUUAUGGUAUCAGAGCAGUUCGUUUCUGUAGAGCCUAAGGGAUGGACUGACUAUGCUUAUGAGCAUACUCUGAGUCGUGUUUAUGUGCUAUUUAGAAUAUCUGACUGAUAAAUAUGGCAUGAAUGUUCAUGAGCAUAAAUUUGGGACUUUAAAGUAUUAGACUUGCGAUAUUGAGACUGAUCACCUUGAUAUCACUUGUUUGGUGUUAAUAGGAACCAGAUUGCGACUCGUGGACACAGUCGCGGGUGAGGCAGGGGUAGGAUAGGUACCACAGACCCUGAAACAAUGGGAGACGACCCUGUGAACUUUAUGGCUGUCUUGGAAAACAUGGCUGCGGCUAUGCAAGCAACAGUCGAAGUGCUAGGGAAUUAAGCUGGAAAUGGGAAUGCCGCUAAUGGGAUAAUGGGCUAAUGACGGUUGCAACUUUUCUGACGAUACAUCUACCGAUCUUCGGAGGAACCAAGAACCCCACUGAGGCCGAUAACUGGUUUCAAGCAAUCGAGCGGGCUUUACAAGCACAACAAGUCCUUGAAGAUCAGCAUGUUGAGUUUGCAACUUAUCAGUUAGUGGGUGAAGCUCAGUAUUGGUGGCAAUGACGCGACACCUUCUGUAGUAGGUUGAUGCUAUUAUACCCUGGGAUGCAUUCCGAACUGAGUUUUACAAGAAAUACUUUUCUAACUCGGUCAGAAUGGCUAAGAAGCUUGAACUACUGCAAUUAAAAUAGGGUCAUAUGUCAGUCGCUGAAUACACGAACAAGUUUGAGAAAUUGUGCCGAUUCUCUAGGAUUUGUCAAGGGGCUCCAAGAGACUUUGAGGAGUGGAAGUGCAUCAAAUAUGAAGGAGGACUUCAAAGUGAUAUAUUGAGUUCUGUGGGCCCGAUAAAAAUAAGAGUUUUAUCAGAAGAUUGUUUAAAGAAGGCUGCUUUGGCAAGGGGUGAAAGCCGGGAGUUCCGCUGAAGGGACCACAAGCAGAAUUUUACACCGAGAGGUCAAGAGUUCAAGAGAAGUGGCAGUGGCCAAGGGAGUGAUAAAGGGAAGCAAGUAACGCCUUACCCAGAGGAUGUGAGGUGCCAAAGUUGCGAAAGUUUUCAUCCGAAUAGGCCAUGCCAAAAGGAUUUAGGUCUGUGUUAUAGGUGCGGGGCACCAGGUCAUAUCUCCAGAGAUUGCUCCCACAGAAAGGCUCAAGACGCUGAUCAAUCGUGAGCACAAGAAGGAGGUAAUCUUCAAAAUGUUAACAGAAUUCUAAUUGCAUUAUAUGAUAUUGGG